rnacentral:rRNA from 1 species
GCAUAUCAAUAAGCGGAGGAAAAGAAACUAACAAGGAUUCCCCUAGUAGCGGCGAGCGAAGCGGGAUGAGCUCAAAUUUGUAAUCUGGCGUCCCUUGGGCGUCCGAGUUGUAAUCUAUAGAAACGUUUUCCGUGCCGGACCACGUCCAAGUCCCCUGGAAUGGGGUAUCAAAGAGGGUGAGAAUCCCGUGCUUGACGUGACGACCGGUGCUCUGUGAUACGUUCUCUACGAGUCGAGUUGUUUGGGAAUGCAGCUCUAAAUGGGUGGUAGACUCCAUCUAAGGCUAAAUAUUGGCGAGAGACCGAUAGCGAACAAGUACCGUGAGGGAAAGAUGAAAAGCACUUUGGAAAGAGAGUUAAACAGUAUGUGAAAUUGUUGAAAGGGAAACGAUUGAAGUCAGUCGUGUCCAUCGGGUUCAGCCGGGUCUCCCGGUCUAUUCCCUUUGGACGGGUCAACAUCGGUUUUGUCUGGCGGAUAAUGGCUGUGGGAAGGUGGCACCCCUCGGGGUGUGUUAUAGCCCGCUGUCGCAUACGCUGGACGAGACCGAGGACUGCAGCUCGCCCUUGUGGCCGGGGGUUCGCCCCACGUACCGAGCUUAGGAUGUUGGCAUAAUGGCUUUAAACGACCCGUCUUGAAACACGGACC